rnacentral:rRNA from 1 species
CAGCCGCCACGGGAAUACGGAGGGGGCUAGCGUUGUUCGGAAUUACUGGGCGUAAAGCGCACGUAGGCGGCUUUGUAAGUUAGAGGUGAAAGCCUGGAGCUCAACUCCAGAAUUGCCUUUAAGACUGCAUCGCUUGAACACGGGAGAGGUGAGUGGAAUUCCGAGUGUAGAGGUGAAAUUCGUAGAUAUUCGGAAGAACACCAGUGGCGAAGGCGGCUCACUGGCCCGUUGUUGACGCUGAGGUGCGAAAGCGUGGGGAGCAAACAGGAUUAGAUACCCCAGUAGUCCCUGUCUCUUAUAA